CGUUAAUUAAACAUGUCAAAGUAAAUGUAAAUGGUUGUAAUCUUGAACUUUACAACAGAAAAAUUGCCUCGAAGAUACUUGACUUUAUUUAUGAACAUUUAGCGCUGAACGAAAGGACAAGUAAAGUCACUUUGGCCAAGCACUGCAUUAAAAUAUCGCGUUACGCAGCGCUAUCCAAAUGGCCGGAGGAAACUCUAGCUGGUGGCAUGUUGAUUCAAGCAAAUCGCAUAUGCGACCAGUUAUUGGUCGGCUCUAACAAGUCCAAAUGGAUAACGUUCAUAGAUGAACGAUUGACAUUCGGGAAAGUCUCCAUCAGAUCCUCGACUAAAUCCAGAAAUAGAAAGAUUCCAAUGUACGAAGUGACGAAUCAUUCCAGUGUCUCAUGUCAUGCAAAAUUAUAGUCUUGAACGCCGAAAA